GAGUAAUGUCUGGGAAACUGCCUGAUGGAGGGGGAUAACUACUGGAAACGGUGGCUAAUACCGCAUAACGUCGCAAGACCAAAGAGGGGGACCUUCGGGCCUCUUGCCAUCAGAUGUGCCCAGAUGGGAUUAGCUUGUUGGUGAGGUAACGGCUCACCAAGGCGACGAUCCCUAGCUGGUCUGAGAGGAUGACCAGCCACACUGGAACUGAGACACGGUCCAGACUCCUACGGGAGGCAGCAGUGGGGAAUAUUGCACAAUGGGCGCAAGCCUGAUGCAGCCAUGCCGCGUGUAUGAAGAAGGCCUUCGGGUUGUAAAGUACUUUCAGCGGGGAGGAAGGUGUUGUGGUUAAUAACCGCAGCAAUUGACGUUACCCGCAGAAGAAGCACCGGCUAACUCCGUGCCAGCAGCCGCGGUAAUACGGAGGGUGCAAGCGUUAAUCGGAAUUACUGGGCGUAAAGCGCACGCAGGCGGUCUGUCAAGUCGGAUGUGAAAUCCCCGGGCUCAACCUGGGAACUGCAUUCGAAACUGGCAGGCUUGAGUCUUGUAGAGGGGGGUAGAAUUCCAGGUGUAGCGGUGAAAUGCGUAGAGAUCUGGAGGAAUACCGGUGGCGAAGGCGGCCCCCUGGACAAAGACUGACGCUCAGGUGCGAAAGCGUGGGGAGCAAACAGGAUUAGAUACCCUGGUAGUCCACGCCGUAAACGAUGUCUACUUGGAGGUUGUGCCCUUGAGGCGUGGCUUCCGGAGCUAACGCGUUAAGUAGACCGCCUGGGGAGUACGGCCGCAAGGUUAAAACUCAAAUGAAUUGACGGGGGCCCGCACAAGCGGUGGAGCAUGUGGUUUAAUUCGAUGCAACGCGAAGAACCUUACCUGGUCUUGACAUCCACGGAACUUUCCAGAGAUGGAUUGGUGCCUUCGGGAACCGUGAGACAGGUGCUGCAUGGCUGUCGUCAGCUCGUGUUGUGAAAUGUUGGGUUAAGUCCCGCAACGAGCGCAACCCUUAUCCUUUGUUGCCAGCGGUCCGGCCGGGAACUCAAAGGAGACUGCCAGUGAUAAACUGGAGGAAGGUGGGGAUGACGUCAAGUCAUCAUGGCCCUUACGACCAGGGCUACACACGUGCUACAAUGGCGCAUACAAAGAGAAGCGACCUCGCGAGAGCAAGCGGACCUCAUAAAGUGCGUCGUAGUCCGGAUUGGAGUCUGCAACUCGACUCCAUGAAGUCGGAAUCGCUAGUAAUCGUGGAUCAGAAUGCCACGGUGAAUACGUUCCCGGGCCUUGUACACACCGCCCGUCACACCAUGGGAGUGGGUUGCAAAAGAAGUAGGUAGCUUAACCUUCGGGAGGGCGCUUACCACUUUGUGAUUCAUGACUGGGGUGAAGUCGUAACAAGGUAACCGUAGGGGAACCUGC
rnacentral:rRNA from 1 species